rnacentral:rRNA from 1 species
AAAUUGAAGAGUUUGAUCAUGGCUCAGAUUGAACGCUGGCGGCAGGCCUAACACAUGCAAGUCGAACGGUAACAGGAARCAGCUUGCUGYUUYGCUGACGAGUGGCGGACGGGUGAGUAAUGUCUGGGAAACUGCCUGAUGGAGGGGGAUAACUACUGGAAACGGUAGCUAAUACCGCAUAACGUCGCAAGACCAAAGAGGGGGACCUUCGGGCCUCUUGCCAUCGGAUGUGCCCAGAUGGGAUUAGCUWGUWGGUGGGGUAACGGCUCACCWAGGCGACGAUCCCUAGCUGGUCUGAGAGGAU